ACUUCAUAGGUGUUUCGACUUAACAAGUAGCCUACUACAUAUAAGUAAUACCAUGUCGAAAUCGAAGCAAGACCAACUGUACGAGUUGAAUAUGCAGAGAGAGACGUGGUGUUGCGUAGAGGCAACCAGCAGAUCUUGGAAUUUACCAGAAAGAAAGCACUUCCGUUGUCACCUCAGGAGAAGCUGUGAGUUCAGCGCGCUGCAGACUGCGAGUCCCGAGCAGAGGUGCUCCUGGAUGGGCAGCAACAACAACACACAUCCCGAGCGAAAGCAUUUCGAAGACAGCUAUAAUGCUCACCUGGUGUGAGGAACUGCAAUCAACCACUGUGCAGAGCAAAUGUUUUCCUCCAGAUAGCAAUAAACAUGUAUAAUGAACCAA